rnacentral:rRNA from 1 species
GACGAACGCUGGCGGCGUGCCUAAUACAUGCCAGUUGAGCGCUGAAGGUUGGUACUUGUACCAACUGGAUGAGCAGCGAACGGGUGAGUAACGCGUGGGGAAUCUGCCUUUGAGCGGGGGACAACAUUUGGAAACGAAUGCUAAUACCGCAUAAAAACUUUAAACACAAGUUUUAAGUUUGAAAGAUGCAAUUGCAUCACUCAAAGAUGAUCCCGCGUUGUAUUAGCUAGUUGGUGAGGUAAAGGCUCACCAAGGCGAUGAUACAUAGCCGACCUGAGAGGGUGAUCGGCCACAUUGGGACUGAGACACGGCCCAAACUCCUACGGGAGGCAGCAGUAGGGAAUCUUCGGCAAGGGACGAAAGUCUGACCGAGCAACGCCGCGGGAGUGAAGAAGGGUUUCGGAUCGUAAAACUCGGUUGGUAGAGAAGAACGUUGGUGAGAGUGGAAAGCUCAUCAAGUGACGGUAACUACCCAGAAAGGGACGGCUAACUACGUG